UAGACUUAUGCAGAGAUGCUUUGGUGCCUUCGGGAACUCUGAGACAGGUGCUGCAUGGCUGUCGUCAGCUCGUGUUGUGAAAUGUUGGGUUAAGUCCCGCAACGAGCGCAACCCUUAUCCUUUGUUGCCAGCGGUUAGGCCGGGAACUCAAAGGAGACUGCCAGUGAUAAACUGGAGGAAGGUGGGGAUGACGUCAAGUCAUCAUGGCCCUUACGAGUAGGGCUACACACGUGCUACAAUGGCGCAUACAAAGAGAAGCGACCUCGCGAGAGCAAGCGGACCUCAUAAAGUGCGUCGUAGUCCGGAUUGGAGUCUGCAACUCGACUCCAUGAAGUCGGAAUCGCUAGUAAUCGUAGAUCAGAAUGCUACGGUGAAUACGUUCCCGGGUCUUGUACACACCGA
rnacentral:rRNA from 1 species